UACGUAGGGCGCAAGCGUUAUCCGGAAUUAUUGGGCGUAAAGAGCUCGUAGGCGGCUUGUUGCGUCGACUGUGAAAACCCGCGGCUUAACCGCGGGCUUGCAGUUGAUACGGGCAGGCUAGAGUUCGGUAGGGGAGACUGGAAUUCCCGGUGUAGUGGUGGAAUGCGUAGAUAUCGGGAGGAACACCAGUGGCGAAGGCGGUUGCCUGGGGCUUUGCUGACGCUGAUGCGCGAAAGCGUGGGGAGCGAGUCCGG
rnacentral:rRNA from 1 species